UCAUAUCACAAAACCACGAUACCAUUUGCUCUAUUUCACAGCCACAAGACACAAUACCAAUUUCCUUCUCUGCACAAACCACAAACCGCAACUUCCUUUCUUCUCUGUACAAGCAAACCGCUUCCUUUCUAAAUACCGAGACACCACCUUCAUCAAAUUCCAUUUCUUUUCUGCACAACUCCACCGAAACCACUGCACUCCAUCUUCAUCGUGAAAAGGUAGCAUCCGAGAGCAAGAGAGGGAGAGCUGCUCCUCGUGAGUAUCGACUGAAGAAAAGCCGCGAGCUGCAUUUUCCUUUUGUCUCUACUCUGUCCGUAGGCUGAGGGAAGAGACCAGGGAAGUCAACCUCAGACCAACAUCCACCAGCUGCAACCACCUACAUCACAACACCAUUUCCAGCUGCAAAUUGAACGCAGGACCAAACAGGGUGCGUGAGAGCCGAGAGGAAGGAAGAAAAUUCCAGAUUUCUGUGCGUAAGUUUAGAGUGUAUCUAAGGAUUUUGCGAGGACGCGGAAUUCGAUUCUCAACUUGAUAUCUGAACUCCACUCUUGGUUCUGGAAACUGAAAGCCUUGAACUUACUUAUGUUUCUUUUCUUUUGGAUGUAAUGGAUAUUAUGGCUAUUGUGUGGGUUGUAUUAUGCUUCAACAUGAAUUAUGUACUUUUGUUUUAGAUUGCCACUUGAUGCUGGAAAAGUGUAAAACCUAAUUUCGAUAUCUGGUUCGUAUGAAUUUUAUUUGUAUACCCGAUUUGUACAACCCUAUUCCCUGGUUGUAGCGCCUGGGAUGUUUAGGGGCCGUUGACUGGCCGUUUUAAAUUACUGCUACCUCUGAAGUUAAUGUGGUUUAGUGAUUGACUUUUUUGAGGGAAGCGAUAUUGUAAUAGUUUAGGUUAUUCUUCGGAAGGAUUCGGGUUAGUGUGCGUGCGUGAGUCCUGGCGAGAGUUGGGCAGACGGCCCGCCAACCCUCUGGUUCGCCUUAGGGGAAAGUGGGGUCGUCACAUUCUCUAAGAGAUGUAAAGACUGCGUUAUGCUUCAAAAGAUUUAAUGGCAGCGUCAGAAGACAGUAGUGCUUUUGUUCA